ensembl:lncRNA
AUAUGUAUUUUUGUUACACCAGUAAGACCCUGAAAGUACGACCGGAUCAUUUGUGUUUUGCACAAAAGAACAUCGCUUCCCCAAAUUAUUUCAGUGUCCGUUCCAGGCGUCUAAAGUUCAGCGUCUCGAGCAAUUCGUUGAUCGUUUUAGAUUUCCCCACCAAUAAACGCCUCUUUGUGUUUGACCGAGCUGCUUUGGACGAGCGCUGGCCCACGGCUGCCUAAAUGGCCCGAUUCUGUUUCCCCUUACUCACUGUAAAUUUCAAUAAUUUGUUUGACUGCCUUCUCUCCCUGUCACUUUUUAUCAUAUUAUCAAUGACCGCUAAAUUUCUCCCUCGCCUGCUCCAGUAGCAGAGCUGACCCCGCUCCCUAUUACAGUUCUGUAAUGAAGUGCAAUGGACUGGUAAUUGGUUCACAUUAUACCAGAUCAGGUAACAUUAGCCUUAUUUCCUUAUCGCAAUGAGUCCUGCUGCUGCCUUCUCAAUGAGAAACUCAACACAGCCUUUCCCUCGCUUUAAUGCACGGGGUGUCAUCCAAAUAACAUUUCAGCUCAUCCAGGCAAUCCCCCCCUCCCCAUUCCAGUUUUCUAUUUCAAGAUUGCUCUCGAUGUUUAGCUAAGCGAUUUCUGCUUGUCUGCCGGUUCCUUCUGCUUGAAAACUCCCGAAAAGGCGGCGGCCAUAGGCACGGAGAUAUAAGCGGAUAGCAUUCCCCAUCCAGAGGGAAGUACAGUAUGCAAGAUGGUAACCUAAGUGAAUGGGUGAAAUGCGAGCAGGCCGUACAGUGGCCUCCUGCCCCCUUUUUUUCAUUCGAGUGGCCCAGACGGCUGCUGCCUUUUGUUCAAGCACUGCGAGCAACAGGAGCCAGAGCACAGUCAUGUUUAUUUCAGCUCAAAUGAGUUCCCCGGCCGUGCGCAUAGCCGACGUAUUAGCCAUGACCAUUGUUUUGUCUGCUGGCCGUUUACUGUUUCGUGCACCUAGGCCGACACCGCUUAGCAAACGAAGUUUGGUCCUGCCGAAUGCGCUUACAUACGUGGUAACUCUGUAACAUUAGAACUUCACGAACUGAGGUUUGCUUUUUAUAAGGACUCUCCUCAGAGCGUCUUGAAGCUGGUAGGAUCGAGAUCAGUAAUCAUAAGAGAGUGCAUCCGCCUUCCUUCGAACUCGCGUUUCCAUUUGCCUCGCAUUCUCUCAUGUUAAAAUUGAUGGCUGCAUGGGUCAGUAUUCGUAUUGUUCCCCUUUUAUGAGUAACAUGGAAAAAUAUUUGGAAUAAACAACGCAACAUGUUCAUCAUACAAAUGGCGACUGAAAAAACGCCAUUUGCCACACACCUGUUAGUCAUGUUACAGACACGCCCCCGAUGCACCUUCGGUCUACCCCCAUUUUUAGUACUCAGAAACCAAAAUAUAGCAGAUCCUAGUGCUUAAACCAUGGUCAAGGUAUAAUUACAUUAAAAAAGCCUGCAUCUGAAAUCUGGAAGAUUCUUAUUGUACCAAAUUAUCCCCGUCAUGUUAUUAUUCCAGUUAUAAACUGGUAAACUGUUUGGAUCAAUGACAACAACUUGAGUAGUUUUCCAGUACUCCAAUAUGCCUUUUUGAUCAAAUGAUGUUCAGCAAUGUAGGUUCUGUCCUGGGGCCAAGCAUUUUUCCUUUCCAGGAACUUAACUUACCGUUAGGCCAUCGAGAUGAUAAUAAUUACAUUUUUAAUUGUGUCAAAACAAUUUUCUCAAAGGGGUGUUUGACGAAACCCAGGAUGACACCCCUCUGUUCUCUUGUUACACUAACAGCCAUGUUCUGGGAUGCCUCCAAAGCUUCAUUCCCCCAUUUAGCCCUGGCCUGUACUAUUACACACCAUCUAUACAUAAUUAAUAAAGUGGUAGUCUUUUAGCCUGGCACAGACAGGUGUCAUGCCUACUGCGAUCCUCAGGUAGAUGUUAAUGCUUAAUGUUGCAAAUAACACGCGCCACG